GAAAGAAGGAAAAUUGAAAAGUGCCCCAUCAAGUGAGUUAUCUCUUCUACCACUUCUUUAUCUUUCAGAAGCAAAAUCCUUAUCACUGACAGAAUCUGCAGAAGCCCUCCCCACCACUCGUGGUUGUCAAUGGCAUUCCAGAUGAGCAUCUUCCAGUUCUGUGUUUUAAUGAUCAUUUUUUGCCAUGAUCAACUGCCUAUUUUGUCUGAGUGAUAAAAUGGAGGCCAGCACCUCUGACUGGAGUUUUGGCUCUGAAUCAACGCAGUGAUGAAAUUUCACGUUUUCAAAGAGUCUGGCCGUUUUGCUGAAUGAUUUGUUUUUGCUUGUACUACAGAAUCAAGAUCUUUAAGGAAAGAAAGAAAAAUAAAACUUUGAAUAUCAGUAAAUUAAAAUGAAGC
rnacentral:lncRNA from 1 species